rnacentral:lncRNA from 1 species
CCACUUAGUAUAUCUAUAUGUCUUGUUCUUCAUCAACAUUUGCAUUGUAACAUACCCUUUACUCAUUUGAGCAAUUUCAUGGCGAAAAAUUCUCUUGAUUAUAGUCCUUUACUUUCUAAACAAGGUGAUGAAACUGAUUAUGGUUAUGUCAGAAAGAUAUCACCUUUUGUUGUGUCAGUUACCAAAUGGACUCUCAGGACUUUGAUUUUCAUAAUCUUUGUUUCAUGGGCUGCUUUCAUUUUUCUGUCACCUUCCGAACGUGUUUAUGAGU